rnacentral:rRNA from 1 species
AUACGGAGGGUGCAAGCGUUAAUCGGAAUUACUGGGCGUAAAGCGUACGUAGGCGGUUCGUUAAGUUAGAUGUGAAAGCCCCGGGCUUAACCUGGGAACUGCAUUUAAAACUGGCGAACUAGAGUUGAGUAGAGGGGAGUGGAAUUUCAGGUGUAGCGGUGAAAUGCGUAGAGAUCUGAAGGAACACCAGUGGCGAAGGCGGCUCCCUGGACUCAAACUGACGCUGAGGUACGAAAGCGUGGGUAGCAAACGGGAUUAGAAACCCUAGUGUCC